rnacentral:rRNA from 1 species
GACGAACGCUGGCGGCAUGCCUCAUACAUGCAAGUCGAGCGGUCUUUAAGUGGAAGGCUUGCCUUUCACUUGAAGAUAGCGGCGGACGGGUGAGUAACGCGUGGGUAACCUGCCCUAAAGUGGGGGAUAACAUUCCGAAAGGAGUGCUAAUACCGCAUAAUGUCCUUUGCCCGCAUGGGUGGAGGAAGAAAGGGAUCAACUCGCUUUAGGAUGGGCCCGCGUCCCAUUAGCUAGUUGGUAGGGUAACGGCCUACCAAGGCGACGAUGGGUAGCCGGCCUGAGAGGGCGACCGGCCACACUGGGACUGAGACACGGCCCAGACUCCUACGGGAGGCAGCAGUCGGGAAUAUUGGUCAAUGGGGGAAACCCUGAACCAGCAAUGCCGCGUGAGCGACGAAGGUCUUCGGAUCGUAAAGCUCUGUCCUUGGGGAAGAUAAUGACGGUACCCAAGAAGAAAGCCACUGCUAACUACGUG